rnacentral:rRNA from 1 species
AUUGCCCUAGUAACGGCGAGUGAAGCGGCAACAGCUCAAAUUUGAAAUCUGGCCCUUGCGGUCCGAGUUGUAAUUUGUAGAGGAUGCUUUUGGUUAGGUGCCUUCCGAGUGCCCUGGAACGGGCCGCCAUAGAGGGUGAGAGCCCCGUCUGGUUGGACACCGAGCCUCUGUAAAGCUCCUUCGACGAGUCGAGUAGUUUGGGAAUGCUGCUCUAAAUGGGAGGUAUAUGUCUUCUAAAGCUAAAUAUUGGCCAGAGACCGAUAGCGCACAAGUAGAGUGAUCGAAAGAUGAAAAGCACUUUGAAAAGAGGGUUAAAAAGUACGUGAAAUUGUUGAAAGGGAAGCGCUUGUGACCAGACUUGGGCCCGGUCAAUCAUCCAGGGUUCUCCCUGGUGCACUUGGCCGGCCCAGGCCAGCAUCAGUUCGUCGCGGGGGAUAAAGACGUUGGGAAUGUGGCUCCCCCGGGAGUGUUAUAGCCCUUCGUGCAAUACCCUGCUUUGGACUGAGGUUCGCGCAUCUUGCAAGGAUGCUGGCGUAAUGGUCAUCAGCGACCCGUCUUGAAACACGGACCAAGGAGUCGUCUUCGUAUGCGAGUGUUCGGGUAUCAAACCCCUACGCGUAAUGAAAGUGAACGCAGGUGAGAGCUUCGGCGCAUCAUCGACCGAUCCUGAUGUUCUCGGAUGGAUUUGAGUAAGAGCAUACGGGGCCGGACCCGAAAGAAGGUGAACUAUGCCUGUAUAGGGUGAAGCCAGAGGAAACUCUGGUGGAGGCUCGCAGCGGUUCUGACGUGCAAAUCGAUCGUCAAAUAUGGG